rnacentral:lncRNA from 1 species
GCACAAUGUUUUAAUAAUAGGCAACUUUAUAACAAGAAAAUGUUAAAAUGAAGAAACUUUUUAAUGGCUUCAUAAUUGACGUUUCUUCGAUAUUGUUGCUUACUUCUACUUUAUAAUUGUCCAUUUUGUUAUUUUCUUUCUUUCUGUUUGCAAAUUAUCUCCAUUAAUCCAUAGAAAACAAGCAUUAUACGUUUGUAUUUCUUCGUAUUUCGAACGCGCACUCCUUGAAGGCAGCCAUAUUGCCGAAU